rnacentral:rRNA from 1 species
AUUCCAGCUCCAAUAGCGUAUAUUAAAGUUGUUGCAGUUAAAAAGCUCGUAGUCGGAUUUCGGGGCGGGCCGGGCGGUCUGCCGAUGGGUAUGCACUGUCCGGCGCGUCCUUCUUUCCGGAGACCGCGCCUACUCUUAGCUGAGCGGGCGUGGGAGACGGAUCGUUUACUUUGAAAAAAUCAGAGUGUUUCAAGCAGGCAGCUCGCUCUUGCAUGGAUUAGCAUGGGAUAAUGAAAUAGGACUCUGGUGCUAUUUUGUUGGUUUCGAACACCGGAGUAAUGAUUAACAGGGACAGUCAGGGGCACUCGUAUUCCGUCGAGAGAGGUGAAAUUCUCAGACCAAUGGAAGACGAACCACUGCGAAAGCAUUUGCCAGGGAUGUUUUCAUCA